UACGUAGGUCCCGAGCGUUGUCCGGAAUUAUUGGGCGUAAAGCGAGCGCAGGUGGUUUAUUAAGUCUGGUGUAAAAGGCAGUGGCUCAACCAUUGUAUGCAUUGGAAACUGGUAGACUUGUGUGCAGGAGAGGAGAGUGGAAUUCCAUGUGUAGCGGUGAAAUGCGUAGAUAUAUGGAGGAACACCGGUGGCGAAAGCGGCUCUCUGGCCUGUAACUGACACUGAGGCUCGAAAGCGUGGGGAGCAAACAGG
rnacentral:rRNA from 1 species